rnacentral:rRNA from 1 species
UUGGAGGGCAAGUCUGGUGCCAGCAGCCGCGGUAAUUCCAGCCCCAAUAGCGUAUAUUAAAGUUGUUGCAGUUAAAAAGCUCGUAGUUGAAUUUCGGGAUCAAUAUGUUGGUCGUGCCUUGGUACGUACUAAUUUAUUGGUUUCUUCCUUCUGACGAACUUUGAUGUCAUUAAUUUGGUGUCUUGGGGAAUCAGGACUGUUACUUUGAAAAAAUUAGAGUGUUUAAAGCAGGCUCACGCUUGAAUACAUUAGCACGGAAUAAUGAAAUAGGACGAUGGUUCUAUUUUGUUGGUUUCUGGGACCGUCGUAAUGAUUAAUAGGGAUAGUUGGGGGCAUUCGUAUUCAAUUGUCAGAGGUGAAAUUCUUGGAUUUAUUGAAGACGGACUACUGCGAAAGCAUUUGCCAAGGAUGUUUUCAUUAAUCAAGAACGAAAGUUGGGGGAUCGAAGACGAUCAGAUACCGUCGUAGUCUCGACCAUAAACUAUGCCGACUGGGAAUCGGACGAUGUUAUUUUUUGUGACUCGUUCGGCGCCUUACGGGAAAC